GAUGAACGCUGGCGGCGUGCCUAAUACAUGCAAGUCGAGCGAACAGACGAGGAGCUUGCUCCUCUGACGUUAGCGGCGGACGGGUGAGUAACACGUGGAUAACCUACCUAUAAGACUGGGAUAACUUCGGGAAACCGGAGCUAAUACCGGAUAAUAUAUUGAACCGCAUGGUUCAAUAGUGAAAGACGGUUUUGCUGUCACUUAUAGAUGGAUCCGCGCCGCAUUAGCUAGUUGGUAAGGUAACGGCUUACCAAGGCAACGAUGCGUAGCCGACCUGAGAGGGUGAUCGGCCACACUGGAUCUGAGACACGGUCCAGACUCCUACGGUAGGCAGCAGUAGGGAAUCUUCCGCAAUGGGCGAAAGCUUGACGGAGCAACGCCGCGUGAGUGAUGAAGGUCUUCGGAUCGUAAAACUCUGUUAUUAGGGAAGAACAAAUGUGUAAGUAACUAUGCACGUCUUGACGGUACCUAAUCAGAAAGCCACGGCUAACUACGUG
rnacentral:rRNA from 1 species